UGGGGUAUAGCUCAGUGAUAGAGCACUUGACUACCAUGUGAGAGGCCCUGGAUUCGAUCUCCAGUACUGCAA
rnacentral:tRNA from 1 species